UUGUUAGAGAGCGAGAGAGCGA
rnacentral:piRNA from 1 species